rnacentral:rRNA from 1 species
UACGUAGGGUGCAAGCGUUAUCCGGAAUUAUUGGGCGUAAAGAGCUCGUAGGCGGCUUGUCGCGUCGGAUGUGAAAGCCCGGGGCUUAACUCCGGGUCUGCAUUCGAUACGGGCAGGCUAGAGUUCGGUAGGGGAGAUCGGAAUUCCUGGUGUAGCGGUGAAAUGCGCAGAUAUCAGGAGGAACACCGGUGGCGAAGGCGGAUCUCUGGGCCGAUACCGACGCUGAGGAGCGAAAGCGUGGGGAGCGAACAGG